rnacentral:rRNA from 1 species
GCCAGACUCCUACGGGAGGCAGCAGUGAGGAAUAUUGGUCAAUGGGCGGGAGCCUGAACCAGCCAAGUCGCGUGAGGGAUGACGGCCCUAUGGGUUGUAAACCUCUUUUGCCGGGGAGCAAAGAGCGGGACGCGUCCCGCCUCGAGAGUACCCGGAGAAAAAGCAUCGGCUAACUCCGUGCCAGCAGCCGCGGUAAUACGGGGGAUGCGAGCGUUAUCCGGAUUUAUUGGGUUUAAAGGGUGCGUAGGCGGAAUGCCAAGUCAGCGGUAAAAUCGCGGGGCUCAACCUCGCUCCGCCGUUGAAACUGGCGUUCUUGAGUUGGCGAGAAGUACGCGGAAUGCGCGGUGUAGCGGUGAAAUGCAUAGAUAUCGCGCAGAACUCCGAUUGCGAAGGCAGCGUACCGGCGCCAGACUGACGCUGAGGCACGAAAGCGUGGGGAUCGAACAGGAUUAGAUACCCGCGUA